UACGUAGGGAGCAAGCGUUGUCCGGAAUCAUUGGGCGUAAAGCGCGCGUAGGCGGCCUCAUAAGUCCGUUGUGAAAGUCAAAGGCUCAACCUUUGAAAGCCGAUGGAUACUGUGAGGCUAGAGUCCGGAAGAGGCGAGUGGAAUUCCUGGUGUAGCGGUGGAAUGCGCAGAUAUCAGGAGGAACACCAAUAGCGAAGGCAGCUUACUAAGGAGUAACUGACGCUGAGGCACGAAAGUGUGGGGAUCAAACAGG
rnacentral:rRNA from 1 species